GGGACACGUGGUAUCCUGUCUGAAUAUGGGGGGACCAUCCUCCAAGGCUAAAUACUCCUGACUGACCGAUAGUGAACCAGUACCGUGAGGGAAAGGCGAAAAGAACCCCGGCGAGGGGAGUGAAAAAGAACCUGAAACCGUGUACGUACAAGCAGUGGGAGCACCUUCGGGUGUGACUGCGUACCUUUUGUAUAAUGGGUCAGCGACUUAUAUUCUGUAGCAAGGUUAACCGUAUAGGGGAGCCGAAGGGAAACCGAGUCUUAACUGGGCGUUAAGUUGCAGGGUAUAGACCCGAAACCCGGUGAUCUAGCCAUGGGCAGGUUGAAGGUUGGGUAACACUAACUGGAGGACCGAACCGACUAAUGUUGAAAAAUUAGCGGAUGACCUGUGGCUGGGGGUGAAAGGCCAAUCAAACCGGGAGAUAGCUGGUUCUCCCCGAAAGCUAUUUAGGUAGCGCCUCGUGAACUCAUCUUCGGGGGUAGAGCACUGUUUCGGCUAGGGGGCCAUCCCGGCUUACCAACCCGAUGCAAACUACGAAUACCGAAGAAUGUUAUCACGGGAGACACACGGCGGGUGCUAACGUCCGUCGUGAAGAGGGAAACAACCCAGACCGCCAGCUAAGGUCCCAAAGUCAUGGUUAAGUGGGAAACGAUGUGGGAAGGCACAGACAGCCAGGAUGUUGGCUUAGAAGCAGCCAUCAUUUAAAGAAAGCGUAAUAGCUCACUGGUCGAGUCGGCCUGCGCGGAAGAUGUAACGGGGCUAAACCAUGCAC
rnacentral:rRNA from 1 species